rnacentral:rRNA from 1 species
AUACGGAGGGAGCUAGCGUUGUUCGGAAUUACUGGGCGUAAAGCGCACGUAGGCGGAUUGGUCAGUUGGAGGUGAAAUCCCAGGGCUCAACCCUGGAACUGCCUUCAAUACUGCCAGUCUAGAGAUCGGAAGAGGUGAGUGGAAUUCCUAGUGUAGAGGUGAAAUUCGUAGAUAUCAGGAGGAACACCAGUGGCGAAGGCGGCUCACUGGUCCGAUACUGACGCUGAGGUGCGAAAGCGUGGGGAGCAAACAGGAUUAGAAACCCCAGUAGUCC